rnacentral:lncRNA from 1 species
UUUAGUAUGUAUGCUCCAAACUUUCUGCAACUGUGAUAAUAAAACUCCAUUCCAUAGAGUUUGUUUGUGACGAUUAAUGUGCCACCACAUAAAUGUAGAAAAUAUUAAUAAAUCUAUGGCAGUAAACGUUAUGUUGACACAAAAAUGCCAAAUCUCAAGUUAAAUGGUUUAUCUAAAUCUGGAUGCAAACACUAAAGUAGACAAUAGCGUUUCAAAUUAAAGCAGAAAUUUAUAACGAAUCAUGUUGACGAUUGGACAUGAAUCGCAGAAAAGCACCAUUGUCGAACGGUUAUGAAUCAAAUCUUUGUAUUAUAA